rnacentral:rRNA from 1 species
AUUGAACGCUGGCGGCAGGCUUAACACAUACAAGUCGAGCGGGGUGAUGGUGCUUGCACUAUCACUUAGCGGCGGACGGGUGAGUAAUGCUUAGGAAUCUGCCUAUUAGUGGGGGACGACAUCUCGAAAGGGAUGCUAAUACCGCAUACGUCCUACGGGAGAAAGCAGGGGAUCACUUGUGACCUUGCGCUAAUAGAUGAGCCUAAGUCGGAUUAGCUAGUUGGUGGGGUAAAGGCCUACCAAGGCGACGAUCUGUAGCGGGUCUGAGAGGAUGACCCGCCCCACUGGGACUGAGACACGGCCCAGACUCCUACGGGAGGCAGCAGUGGGGAAUAUUGGACAAUGGGGGGAACCCUGAUCCAGCCAUGCCGCGUGUGUGAAGAAGGCCUUAUGGUUGUAAAGCACUUUAAGCGAGGAGGAGGCUCUUUUGGUUAAUACCCAAGAUGAGUGGACGUUACUCGCAGAAUAAGCACCGGCUAACUCUGUGCCAGCCGCCGCAGUAA